UACGUACUGGGCGAACGUUAUUCGGAAUCACUGGGCUUAAAGGGUGCGUAGGCGGCCUUCCAGGUCCGGUGUGAAAUCUCUCGGCUCAACCGAGAAAUGGCGCUGGAAACCGGAAGGCUUGAGUGUGCUAGGGGUGUGUGGAACUUCCAGUGGAGCGGUGAAAUGUGUUGAUAUUGGAAGGAACGCCGGUGGCGAAAGCGACACACUGGGGCAUAACUGACGCUGAGGCACGAAAGCUAGGGUAGCGAACGGG
rnacentral:rRNA from 1 species